AUUGAACGCUGGCGGCAGGCCUAACACAUGCAAGUCGAACGAGUGGCGGACGGGUGAGUAAUGUCUGGGAAACUGCCUGAUGGAGGGGGAUAACUACUGGAAACGGUAGCUAAUACCGCAUACCAUCGGAUGUGCCCAGAUGGGAUUAGCUAGUAGGUGGGGUAACGGCUCACCUAGGCGACGAUCCCUAGCUGGUCUGAGAGGAUGACCAGCCAAACUGGAACGGGGAAAGGGUCCAGACCCCUACGGGAGGAGCCAGUGGGGAAUAUUGCAAAAUGGGCGCAAGCCUGAGGCAGCAAUGCGGCGUGUAUGAAGAAGGCCUUCGGGUGGUAAAGUACUUUCAGCGGGGAGGCGUUACCCGAAGAAGAAGCACCGGCUAACUCCGUGCCAGCAGCCGCGGUAAUAC
rnacentral:rRNA from 1 species